AAACGGAUGUACAGCCGGGUUUUUUUUUCGAUGCAGAAAAAGGAACCGUUUUGCUUUUCAAGUUCUCGGUCCCGGGACACACGAUCUUUUCCUUUCACGUAGAAUAUGAAGCACUCUGAGUCAGGCCUAGGUCAAAAGGUCAACAACGUAAAACCCAGUUCCGAUGCAUUCCCGAGCACAAACACACCCCACACACACACUAGCAUGCAUACGAACCUGUUCAUAAAGUCGAGCACUUCGAAAGUUUUAACAUCGGAAAAGGUUCGACCGAAUUUCCAGAGUCUAUUCUUCACUACUUCCAGAAUCAAACACUUCGAAAGUUUGAACAUCGGCAAAGUUCAACAGAAUUUCCAGAGUCUAUCCUUCACUACUUCCAGACACCAUGGAUUUCUCGGCAGACAGCUUGGUGAUUAUUUCUGAUGAUGAGAUUCCCGAAACAACCACUCAUGACCUUUUGAAUCUGAGCUCCACACGUAAGUCAUAACAUAAAAUUAUGAAUGUUUCAUGCUGUAAAAGUCUUUCAUACGUGAAUAUAACAUUGUUUGUAUCAUAUGCAGAAUUUGAGGGAAACGUGACUAACAGUGAUUACGACGGAGAUAUUUCAGGUGAGUUGUAGUAUAUUUACCUUCUAUUUACACAGCACAAAAAAUAAAUAAAUAAAAGCUCUUUCACAUGUUCUGUGACUUAUAGAUACGAGUGAUGCAAUAGAAGACCAAGAGGAGAUCAUCUCGGAAACCGACAUUCAACAAGACAUCGAACUACAACGGAUCUGCGCAGUGUGGCGUGAAUUCUUCGAAGCAAAGACUGAUUUAUUGGAAAACUUUGGACAGAUUGAUUAUACACUUGAAUCUGGUCGAGGUACAGAUUUUAUCCCUUUACUGUAUAGCACGCUUGAAAAUGUGAAUAGAACCAGAUUUCGCUGCACUGUGUUUCGGUAUCAACCGGUGACGACACACCCGAUCACAAAGAGAUCAUAAUUAUUGUUGCAUGUUCUUUACCAUAUAGCUUUCCCAUGAAUACCAACUCAACCCACUAUCCCCCCCAUCAGGUUGUUGGUUGUUUUCCCUGAGUCAGGCCUUGGUCAAAAAGGUCUAUGAUAAUUAUUGACACACACACACACACACACAUAUACGAACCUGUCUAUAAAAGCGAACACUUCGUUAGUUGGAAAAAUCAGCAAAGAGUCGAAUAGUUCGAAGGGAUCGACAGAAUUUCCAGACUCUAUCCUUCAAAACUUCCAGACACCAUGGAUUUCUCAGCAGAGCAAGACCGAACUAAGCUCGUCUGAUUCUAGUGUAUAGGAUAACGUAUCAAACGAAUGCGAGUCUACAAGAUAACAGUGCCGUCAUAAUUUCUGACGAUGAAAUUUCCGAGACAUCUGAACGAAGCCUUUUGAAUCUGAGCUCUACACCACAAAUGAAAAUCCCUCUCUAGACGAGCAGAUUUGUCAGAUGAAACCUUUUCCUUCUUAUCCACUGCUACGGUAAACUAAAGAGUAGAUUUUCAAAUUACACUGCUAAAUAUGACUAGCAUUAGCUACGUGUAGUAGUGCAAAAUAAUCCAUCAACUGUAUUAGCAGGUGUAGCCUAUACACGAGUCCACUGCUGGUCAUAUCACUAUUGAGAACAUGCCCCAAAUUCACUGCUUUAGUAGAAUUUAAUUGUAAGUGAAAUGAUGCUCACACUGUAAUGUCCUUUGUAUUUGUUCAGUCUACAGGUCCUCUAACACUCUGUUAAAUGAAUAAAUGUAAAUGUACUACAACGUAGAUUUUGUUUUAAAUCAAUUAAUGCAGAAAUUACACACAAUAUUAUCAACAUUAUUAUGUCAACACAACUCAUCAAAAUAAUGUGUACAACUUUAAAUAUUUAAUGAAUUCAAUAAAUUAGAAUUUUUAUCUUGCAACCACACAUUAAAUUUAGAUUGUGGGGGUUUGCUUUGUAUAGCGCCGCUGUUAGAAAAUACAUGAUGGUUGAACGUGAACAUAAAUGAGCAGAAUGUAAGCUUGUGAAAUAAAUGAAACUUUAUUGAUUGCAGUUUUGAGAAAAUGGCAUGACUUUGAAUAAAAAUUUACUGAAAUAAAUACUCUAAAACAUUGAUAUACCCGAAGAAAUGUAAAAAAGAAAAAAAAAAAAAAGAAAAGUUUUUACAUACCUUCUAAAUAGGUCCCUUCAGGAGGUAAACGUUUUAAAAGACGGUGUUUUAUAAGAAACGCGCGUAUUACAUGCCUUCUAAACCUAACCCUUUAGGAUGUGAAAUGUUUAAAGUGUUGCUUAAAAGAAUCGAGAGUUUUGUUUAAACUAGAAGACACAUUUUUCGGGCGAUGUCUUGUAGGCCCAUACACACUCUCCUACACAUGUGUUUUCCCGGGGUGACAGUUCUGUAGAUAGUGUAAAUUUUACAUUUAUGAGCUCUGGUGACAGUGUCUGAAGUGUGUGUGUAUGUGGGUGUGGGGGUGUGCGUGCGUGUGUGUGGGUGUGUUAGAAAGAGAGAGAGAGAGAGAGAAGAGAGAGAGAGAGAGAGAGAG
ensembl:lncRNA